UUAAGUGACGAUAGCCUAGGAGAUACACCUGUACCCAUGCCGAACACAGUAGUUAAGCCCUAGAACGCCUGAAGUAGUUGGGGGUUGCCCCUGUUAGAUACGGUAGUCGCUUAGC
rnacentral:rRNA from 1 species